AUUGAACGCUGGCGGCAUGCUUUACACAUGCAAGUCGAACGGUAACAGGCCGCAAGGUGCUGACGAGUGGCGAACGGGUGAGUAAUGCAUCGGAACGUGCCCAGUCGUGGGGGAUAACGCAGCGAAAGCUGCGCUAAUACCGCAUACGAUCUAUGGAUGAAAGCGGGGGACCGUAAGGCCUCGCGCGAUUGGAGCGGCCGAUGUCAGAUUAGGUAGUUGGUGGGGUAAAGGCUCACCAAGCCGACGAUCUGUAGCUGGUCUGAGAGGACGACCAGCCACACUGGGACUGAGACACGGCCCAGACUCCUACGGGAGGCAGCAGUGGGGAAUUUUGGACAAUGGGCGCAAGCCUGAUCCAGCAAUGCCGCGUGCAGGAAGAAGGCCUUCGGGUUGUAAACUGCUUUUGUACGGAACGAAACGGUCCUGGUUAAUACCUGGGGCUAAUGACGGUACCGUAAGAAUAAGCACCGGCUAACUACGUGCCAGCCGCCGCCGUAACAC
rnacentral:rRNA from 1 species